rnacentral:rRNA from 1 species
UACGAAGGGGGCUAGCGUUGUUCGGAAUUACUGGGCGUAAAGGGCGCGCAGGCGGCUCUUCAAGUCAGAUGUGAAAGCCCCGGGCUCAACCUGGGAACUUGCAUUUGAGACUGGAGAGCUUGAGUUCGGGAGAGGAGAGCGGAAUUCCCAGUGUAGAGGUGAAAUUCGUAGAUAUUGGGAAGAACACCAGUGGCGAAGGCGACUCACUGGAC